rnacentral:rRNA from 1 species
UACGUAGGUGACGAGCGUUAUCCGGAAUACUGGGCGUAAAGCGCACGCAAGCGGUUGGACAAGUCUGGCGUGAAAUCUUCUGGCUUAACUAGGAGCGGUCGCUGGAAACUGUUCGGCUUGAGGCGAUGAGAGGGGUGCAGAAUUCCCGGUGUAGUGGUGGAAUGCGUAGAGAUCGGGAGGAAUACCAGUGGCGAAAGCGGCACCCUGGCGUCGUACUGACGCACAUGUGCGAAAGCGUGGGGAGCGAACGGG